AUUGAACGCUGGCGGCAUGCUUUACACACGCAAGUCGAACGGUAACAGGUUAAGCUGACGAGUGGCGAACGGGUGAGUAAUGCAUCGGAACGUGCCUGAUAGUGGGGGACAACCGGUCGAAAGACUGGCUAAUACCGCAUAAUAUCCAAGGAUGAAAGUGGGGGAACGCAAGACCUCAUGCUAUUAGAGCGGCCGAUGUCAGAUAAGGUAGUUGGUGGGGUAAAGGCUCACCAAGCCGACGAUCUGUAGCUGGUCUGAGAGGACGACCAGCCCCACUGGGACUGAGACACGGCCCAGACUCCUACGGGAGGCGGCAGUGGGGAAUUUUGGACAAUGGGCGCAGGCCUGAUCCAGCAAUGCCGCGCGCAGGAAGAAGGCCUUCGGGUUGUAAACUGCUUUUGUACAGAACGAAAAAGUUUUUGUUAAUACCGGAGACUGAUGACGGUACUGUAAGAAUAAGCACCGGCUAACAACGUGCCAGCCGCCGCCGUAACAC
rnacentral:rRNA from 1 species